GACGAACGCUGGCGGCGUGCUUAACACAUGCAAGUCGAACGGAAAGGCCCUGCUUGCAGGGUGCUCGAGUGGCGAACGGGUGAGUAACACGUGGGUGAUCUGCCCCUUACUUUGGGAUAAGCCUGGGAAACUGGGUCUAAUACUGGAUAGGACCAUGCUGUAGGUGGUGUGGUGGAAAGAUUAGUUUCGGUAAGGGAUGAGCUCGCGGCCUAUCAGCUUGUUGGUGGGGUAAUGGCCUACCAAGGCGUCGACGGGUAGCCGGCCUGAGAGGGUGGACGGCCACAUUGGGACUGAGAUACGGCCCAGACUCCUACGGGAGGCAGCAGAGGGGAAUAUUGCACAAUGGGCGCAAGCCUGAUGCAGCGACGGCGCGUGGGGGAUGACGGCCUUCGGGUUGUAAACUCCUUUCAGCCAUGACGAAGCCCUUGUGGUGACGGUAGUGGUAGAAGAAGCACCGGCUAACUACGUG
rnacentral:rRNA from 1 species